GAUGAACGCUAGCUACAGGCUUAACACAUGCAAGUCGAGGGGAAACGACAUCGCAAGCUUGCUUUUGAUGGGCGUCGACCGGCGCACGGGUGAGUAACGCGUAUCCAACCUGCCCAUCACUUGGGAAUAACCUUGCGAAAGUAAGACUAAUACCCAAUGACAUCCCACGAAGACAUCUGAAUGGGAUUAAAGAUUUAUCGGUGAUGGAUGGGGAUGCGUCUGAUUAGCUUGUUGGCGGGGUAACGGCCCACCAAGGCAACGAUCAGUAGGGGUUCUGAGAGGAAGGUCCCCCACAUUGGAACUGAGACACGGUCCAAACUCCUACGGGAGGCAGCAGUGAGGAAUAUUGGGCAAUGGGCGAGAGCCUGAACCAGCCAAGUAGCGUGCAGGAUGACGGCCCUAUGGGUUGUAAACUGCUUUUAUAAGGGAAUAAAGUGGGUCUCGUGAGACUUUUUGCAUGUACCUUAUGAAUAAGGACCGGCUAAUUCCGUG
rnacentral:rRNA from 1 species